rnacentral:lncRNA from 1 species
GUGGGGGGGACUCUCCAGGGACAUCAUGCGUCACAGAGCAGGGAAGAGGGGGUGGUGAAGGCAGGCAUGAGCAGGUAGGAGAAUGUCACCCUGUCACUGAUGUCAUAGGGCAGAACUGGGGAUCGAGAGAACAGAAGUCAAGGCAUGGAAAGGGUCAGGUGACUGUCUUGCCCUUCUCACCUCCUUCUCGGGGGACACAGACGGGCUCAGCAAGAUGAAAGGAAUUUUUCCAAAGAUCUCUGCAGCACAGCCUCUCAUUGGCUGUUUCCUUUGUGUCGGACUGACACUGCCCAGCAAGCCCCAUCUAGCUACCAGGAGAGCUGUUUACAUGGAAUCCAAGUUGCCUGCCAGGGGCAGAGCACGUUUUUCCACAGCUGCUGAGAAAGACGAGUGAGUCAAGACAGAAUAACAAAAAGCCACUUCAAAAACACACCAGAAGAAGUACGAAGCUGAGACAAUCACAGGACAAUAGAGCCCAUUGAAGAGGAGCCUGGAGUUGGAGGUAUUGGCUCAAGUCCCUCCGACUGUCAUUCAGUUGCCAUGAGACUUUAGUGUGGAUCGUGUCCCCAGGCCUGCGUGUGAGAAAGAUCAGAGUUUAGAAUUAGAGGCUUUUCCAAUGAUGACGUGUACUGUGGGGCCUUAGACUCUGGUCUCACUUGGGCAUGAAGGUGCUCACUUGUGAUCCCAGCACUUGAGACGAAGAGGCAGGAGAAUCCGGAGUUCAAGGUUAUCCCGCAUAGUAAGUUCAAGGCUAAUGGGCUUGUCUUAGUCAGGGUCUCUAUUCCUGCACAAACAUCAUGACCAAGACAAAUUGGUACCAGGAGUGGGGUAUUCCUGUGACAACCUGACCAUGUUUUGGGGAGGACUGUGGAAGGAC